GAAUUUGGAUGGAGCCCAAUGGGGAUGGCUUGUCUCUGUUUCCUGAUGUCGGGGGCUGAAGCUGGAAUACUCAAAACCCGCGGACCAGGGUCAUCUGCAGGAUUUUUUGCUCACGCAUCUGACCGUGGAUGCUGUCUAUUGGCUGGGGGCCUCAGUUUCACUCCCGAUGAUCUAGAUGGAUUUUUCCUGCGUGGUGCCUGGGUUACUGAAAGAAAGAAGCAGGCAUGAACUGUAUUUUUUUUUUACGACCUCAUCUUUUUAUGAUCUACAUUGCUCGCCCUGUACCCAUUGGUCAAUGUAGCCAUAGCCCCACCCUGAUUCUGUAAAUGACCCCACCCUGGAAUCUGUAAAACUCCAGAAGAGCAUGAAGGGGAGGCACUCAUCUUUGGAAAAUGCAAUCUGCUAUACUCUGUUAGAGCUCUCCAUUUGCUUCUUCUGAGUGGCCCCUUUAUUCAACAACCAUCAAAAAUAACAGCAAUGGAAAGAACUACCUGAGGCUUAGAGGGGAGAGCAAAGUCCCUCAUGCUGCAUUCAACUUCCUGGCUGGAAGACCAGGAUAAAGUUGCUUUUCAUCCCUCUGCUAGCAAGAGCAAGGCAGCACCCAUGUCAGGAGUGUGAGAGACAGCUAGAGAAAGCGCAUGAGCAGGAGGAGAAGCAGAGGGAGGAGAAGGAGAAGACUCCACUCCCUGCUGAGCACAGAGCUUGAGGCAGGGCUUGAGCACAGAACCCUGGGAUCAAUCCCUAGGUGAAGGCAGAUGCUUAAUGGACUAAGCCACCCAGGCACCCCUUAAAAGAUUUUAUUUAUUUUAGAGAGAGAGAGAAAGAGAGAGAGCAUGAACGAGCAGGGGGAGGAGCAGAGGGAGAGGGAGAGAGAAACUGAGGCAGACUCUGGACUCAGCACAGAGCCCCACAUGGGGCUCAAUUCUGGAAAACCAAGAUCAUAACCUGAGGCUUAACUGACUAAGAUAUGAAAUGCACCCAGGCGCCCCACUUCUAUGAAUCUAAAUUCAUGUAAAAAUUCAUGUCAUCACCACCACAAUCAAGAUAUAGAACAGGGACAGGCCAGAUGGCUCAGCGAUUUAGUGCCGCCUUCAGUCCAGGGCCUGAUCCUGGGGACCUAGGAUCGAGUCCCACAUCGGGCUCCCUGCAUGGAGCCUGCUUCUCCCUCUGCCUGUGUCUCUGCCUCUGUGUGUGUGUGUGUGUGUCUCAUGAAUAAAUAAAUAAAAUCUUUAAAAAAAAAAAAGAUAUAGAACAGCUCUACUGCCCCCCCAAAAAUCCAUUAUGCUAUUCCUUUGUAGUCACAUCCUCCCUCCCAUCCCCCACAAACCUCUUGUUAGUUUGAGCUAUUCUCCAUGACUAUUGUUUUGUCUUUCCAAAAAUGUCAUAUAAACGGAACAAUACAGCAUGUGACCCUUUUAAAAAGAUUUUGCUUGUUUAUUUAUUUAAGAUUUUAUUUGAGAGUGAGAGAGAGCAGGAGCUGAGGGGCUGAGGGGCAGAGGGAGAGGGAGAAAUAGACUCCCCACUGAGCAGGGAGCCCAUCUCAGGACUCUGGGAUAAUGACCUGAGCUGAAGUAAGAUGCUUAACUGACUGAGCCAUCUAGGCAUCCCUAAAAAUUUUAUUUUUUUAAAGAUUUAUUUAUUUAUUUGUGAUAGACACAGAGAGAAACAGAGAGAGGCAGAGACACAGGCAGAGGGAGAAGCAAGCUCCAUGCAGGGAGCCUGACGUGGGAUUUGAUCCCGGGUCUCCAGGAUCGCGCCCUGGGCCAAAGGCAGGUGCCAAACCGCUGUGCCACCCAGGGAUCCCCCUUAAAGAUUUUAUUUUUAAGUAAUCUGUAUACCCAUCAUGGGGCUCAACCCCACAACCUUGAGGUCAAGAAUCACAUGCCCCACCAACUGAGCCAGCCAGAUGCCCCAGCAUGAGAUCAGAUUUGUUCAGCAUAAUGCCUUUGAGAGUCAUCCAAAUUUUGCAUGUAUCAACAAUUGUUUCUUUUUGUUUCUGCAUACUCUUCCACAGUAUGGAUAUGCCAAGUUAUGCAUUUACCCAUUUUAACCUGGUUUUGGGUAAUUACAAAUAAAGCUGCUAAGAACA